rnacentral:rRNA from 1 species
CACGUAGGGCGCAAGCGUUGUCCGGAAUUAUUGGGCGUAAAGGGCUCGUAGGCGGUUUGUCGCGUCGGGAGUGAAAUCCACUGGCUUAACUGGUGGCUUGCUUUCGAUACGGGCAGACUGGAGGCAUGCAGGGGAGAGCGGAAUUCCUGGUGUAGCGGUGAAAUGCGCAGAUAUCAGGAGGAACACCGGUGGCGAAGGCGGUUCUCUGGGCAUGUCCUGACGCUGAGGAGCGAAAGUGUGGGGAGCGAACAGG